UAUCAAAGAACAUUAAUCCAAAAUUUGUAGGAGGACGCUUAUAUUUGAAUGCAAUUUCAGGGACCAAUUUCCACUUCGACAAAGAACUUCGGUGAGGAUGGUGUCACCAGCUCUGCAAGUUAUACCAAAUAUGGAGAUG